ACAGAGAGAAUUCUGAUUCACAUUCUGUCCUGAUGCCGUCUGGGAAUGCAAAUGCUCAGUGUCACACUGCUAAGUGGAGAGAGGAAAACAAUGGGAACUGGCGUUGAGAAGAUGAAUGCAAGAAAGCACACACUGUAUGAGUGCCAUUGCCACUCCUCCAUUCUCCCUCAAUCGAUCCCAUUCUUAGGACCGCGUGGCAGCUCUUACUUCGAAGGAAUACGAAGAGUGUCUCUUGAACUGAACCUAAUGUAAAGAGUAAAAGAGCCAAGAUGUGAAGGCGGAGACUCUCAGACAAGACCUCCUGCCUGGAGGAAGCAGACGUCCUGGGAAGAGAUUUACACCAGAGACAUUUGGAAAAGAUACUCCCUAACCUGCUGAAUUGCCUGCUUGCUCCGCAAUGUGCUCGAGGUUUCCUUGGUUUCCUGAGUUGUCAACAAUGCUGGG